rnacentral:rRNA from 1 species
AGGGCAGGAGGAAACGUUCCGGGCCUUGUACACACCGCCCGUCACACCAUGAGAGUUUGUAACACCCAAAGUCGGUGGGGUAACCUUUUAGGAGCCAGCCGCCUAAGGUGGGACAGAUGAUUAGGGUGAAGUCGUAACAAGGUAGCCGUAGGAGAACCUGCGGCUGGAUCACCUCCUU